UACGUAGGGUGCGAGCGUUAAUCGGAAUUACUGGGCGUAAAGCGUGCGCAGGCGGUUUUGUAAGCCAGAUGUGAAAUCCCCGGGCUUAACCUGGGAAUGGCAUUUGGGACUGCAAGGCUGGAGUGCGGCAGAGGAGACUGGAAUUCCUGGUGUAGCAGUGAAAUGCGUAGAGAUGCGGAGGAACACCGAUGGCGAAGGCAGCCCCCUGGGCCAACACUGACGCUCAGGCACGAAAGCGUGGGGAGCAAACAGG
rnacentral:rRNA from 1 species